UCCAAUGACGCAUUAGACUCGCUCGCAUUUGCUGGCAUUCAGCCAAGCUGACUCCUCCUGCCUAGGUCCCAUGCCCUGCCCCUAUAUAAAUCGGUCAAGACAUCCCCUUCAUCAUCAGAGGUGAACUAGACCGAGACCAUACCAUCCUGUGUGGAGCCAAGCUUCGCCGGGAGAGCUGAGGAAGGAGAAAUGACCGCCGCCGUCAUUGUGCACAUACACCCACGACGAAGUCCCCAAGUCAGGCCUCAGCUUCACCUAGUCCUUGGGAUGGCGUGCAUGGACUUGCCGGGCGCAACAGGUGUGCGGAGCGUUCGGAAUUUCUUGCCGACGUGCUCAGAUCACCGCAAAGCCGCUCCUCAACAUCGACGGCCUCACUGAUGCCCUGAACCGAGAAGCCAGGUUACGAGGAAUUUGAAGCCCAACUUUGGGAAGCACUUGGAGUUACACCAAAACGGUCAAGAACAGGUACCGCCAAGAGGAGGAUCACCAUGAAGAUGAGUCCGGAGAGGUCUAGGUCAUCGUUUCCUAGUCAACAAUGGUUGUGGAGGAUCGUUGUCGUCAUAUGGUGUAUUUUAUUUAGCUAUUUUGUAUAUAAAUUGUUUUAAGUAAUAAAGAUGUGACA